rnacentral:rRNA from 1 species
UACGAAGGGGGCUAGCGUUGCUCGGAAUCACUGGGCGUAAAGGGUGCGUAGGCGGGGCUUAAAGUCAGAGGUGAAAUCCUGGAGCUCAACUCCAGAACUGCCUUUGAUACUGAGGAUCUUGAGUAUGGGAGAGGUGAGUGGAACUGCGAGUGUAGAGGUGAAAUUCGUAGAUAUUCGCAAGAACACCAGUGGCGAAGGCGGCCCACUGGCCCAUUACUGACGCUGAGGCACGAAAGCGUGGGGAGCAAACAGG